ensembl:snRNA U6 U6 spliceosomal RNA
GUACUUGCUUCAACAGCACACAUACUAAAGCUGGAAAGAUGCAGAGAAGAUUAGCACUGUUCCUGCACACAGUGACAUACGAAUUCACGCAGCGUACCAUGUUUUU